GGCGACAUAGCCAAGUGGUAAGGCAGGAGCCUGCAAAGCUCUCACUCCCCAGUUCGAAUCUGGGUGUCGCCUCCA
rnacentral:tRNA from 1 species